UACAUUAAAUAAACAGCAUUUCAGCUGAUAUGUCACUUGUUAUCAAUGCCAAGUGUGUCUAGUAACUCUGUUGUCUAAGAUGAAGAGAUGUGCUUAUUUUUACCCCUUCUCUCCACCCCUCUGUUUCCCCUCUGUCUGACCCUCUAUCUCCACUCUGAUUUCGUGUUGCUCAACUGUUACUUUUGGCUGAUUUUCUUGUUGUUAAAUUGAGUUUUUUUACAUUAUGUAUAUUCUACCAGAAGGAUUAUCAAUGGCAUUGCAUUCUGUUUUAUGACCACAUUUGUAACAAUUAUAUAGAAUGACUUUUUAGGGUAAACGCUUCCACUGCUUCUAUUAGAAAGGUAAGAAGGGCUGGGGAGACAAGCAUUAGAUGAAGUUCUGGGUGAAAGACCAGCCUGGAGUUAAGCCUGUUGGGUGCCUAAUGGGGACGGGAGAAAGGAGGUUUCUUCUUCUUCGUCUCAUCUCCCAACCUUGGUCCCAUCACUUACUCUGUCUGCAAUUAUAGUGGACCUGCCUGUAGGACCCACGUCAGGCGACUUUCCUGGAUUUCAACUCGCACGCAUUUUCCCUGGGAGGCAGUACCCCAUGGAACUUCUCUGGCUUUCUGGCCCCGGGUUUCCUGGCCCAUUUUGUUGUUGUCCUCUGUGGUUCACAAGACCCUUCCAACAUGGCUUUGAUCUUAGACAUUUGGCUUGUGCGUAUGGUGUGUCAAGGGUCAAACAUUCAGUUGUUUUUCUGAGCUUUCCAAUAUAUUUGUAUUUUUCCCUACCUUUCUUUGAGUUGACACGUAUUUGAGAAAUUUCCCAGAAACAAUCCGCAGAUGUCCUGGGAGGCUGGCAGGGCUCUGGGUGGUUUCAGGGGUGUGAACCUCUGGUCCCAUCGCAGAAGCCAUGGUGAGCACUCCUGCAUCGUCUUCAUCCCAGUGGUACCCCUGCUGGGCGCAGUCUUCAUAGGGGACAUAGCAAGUGUCUGGAUGUAGCAGAUGCUGAAGACCUUCAGAGGCUUCCCUGGGUUGCUGUCCUGGCCUCCAUCUGAGGUACUGUGUUAGUGAACUCCUCUCAUUCAGGCUGUAGGCUUCUUGUGGAUGAGGUGAUACUUUAUUCUUCUCCAGGAAGGUACGUAAGCCAUUGGACAUAAACUUGAAUUCAGAAGUGGCUUGCUCCAUGUUAAUGUUUGGGUUAUUUUUAAGAGUUUAGGAAGACCUAUAGGCUUGGAUCCAUUGGGAUUGAUUUACUAGUUUGGGGUUCUUCAUUUUCCACUCUUUUUAAAAGUGUGUGUGUGUGCACAUGUGUGUAUUUGUGUAUGCUCGUUUUUCGCUCUUUAAAAAAGUUUUGUGUGUCUGUGUAGGCAUGUGUUUCUUUUUCAUGAAUGCAUGCUAUUUAGAGUUGGUGGCUGCAUCUUAGAGCAAUGCACCUUAUGUGUGGUCCAAAGACAAGCAGCCCCAGCACCACUGGGGGUCUUGUUUGACAUGCAUAUUCUCAGGUGCUGGUCCACACAUACUGAAUCGAAACUGAGAGUGGAACCCAGCAAUUUGUAUUUUAACAAGCCCUCCAGGGGAUCCUGGUGCAUAUUAAAGAAUGAGAACCACUGUCUUAGACAUAAUCUACUCUCUCUCAUCCAUGAAGUCAUAAGACUCCUCCCAGAGGUAAUUUACCCAAGAUCACACGUGGCACCAGCGACAGACCAGGGCUAGAACCCAGAUGUGACCCAUGUUAACAGCUGACAUCACUUCUGGGAUAAAGGAGGCAUUCAGUAAAUUAGUUUUGCUUCCUCUUGGUUCUGCCCCUCCCUGGACACAAGCAGUGAGGAAGGCGCUGCUGUCUUUCAGUGCUCUUCUCUCUUUCUCCCCUCAAUUCAAAUAGACCCCAGAAAAAGGUCCCAGACACGUGCUGUUAACCCACUGUGCAUCCAGGAGCUUGCCACCUUGCCUGUGUUCCCAUCGUGAUGAUGAAGAAACAAUGGAUUGGCCCGCCUGGCUGGGAUCCCUUCCAGCCCUGACUUUCCACGGCUGCAGGGCAGACUCUGACACACACGUUUCUGUGGUCGGCUAUCAGCGGCCAUCUGGCAAUUAGCAGUCUCUGAGGCAGCUAAUCCCACUCUGAGCUGGAUUAAAGCUGAAGUUUAAAACAUGGAGAUAGGCAGGUGAUUUAUGUUGGAGUCUUUGGGUCCCGCUGUCCCUGGCAGCCUGGUGAAGGAGGACAGAGAAGCUGAUUUCCUCCCUUAUCUAUCUUGGAGGCUCAGCGGAGCUGGAUCAGCUUUCCAGAGGGACAGCCUGGGCUGGGGGACAUGCCAGGCUGUGGGAGGUGCCGGGGGAGCUCCAGGAGACCGGCCACAGCACAUGAGGCAUGGCUGGGCUGGCUGGAGGAGACGGAGCGAGCCAGGUUCCGUGUCCAGUGCCGCAUCGCUAGAAGCAGGUGUGAUGGGGAAUCUGGGGUGGCCAGAUGGAUUUGAACCACGGCUCCCAGAUGCCAUCGAGGGCCCUGGGGUGGCAGGCAGCAAGCCCUCCAGCUCCUUUGGGGUGCCCUCUCAGUAGGCAGCAUGGUCAGAAACCAAACCCGUGUGUUUGUUCACAGCCCGAGGAGAUAAUUAACUUAUCUCCACAGAGGGACUUGAUUACAUUCCUAGCAUGAGCGGAAUGAGAAGUUUGGACUUGGAAGCGCUGGUGGUGGUGGGAUAUAUUUGCAGUACUUGGCCGAGGAGCCAUUUGUUCAGAAAUUGGCCGAGUAAUCAGACAAAUGCCUCUUUUCCUAAUUGUUGAUAGAAAUCAGCUAUUAUGGCAGAGCCAGGGGCUCACUCCUGAGACAACACAUUACUUAAGGUGAGCAUGCCUCCGAAUAUGUUAGGGUGAUCUAAAAACAUUUCACAUAACUCGAGUUUAAAAACAAGUUGUGCCUGUCGUGAAUGCUGUAUAAUGCUGGGCACAGGGGAAUGUGAUUUACUGCCUGCAUUUCAGCUGUUGUUACUGCUACUGUCAGGAACCACCUUUCAUACCCACUUCCUCGGGUUAGAUACUGGAUUGAGCACCUGCUGUGUGCAGCUCUGUGCUAGGCGCUAGGGGCCAAAGCAGACAGAUAUUCUAUCCAUGAGGAGUUUAGGGCUUAUCCUAACAGAAGAGUUUUAUAAAAUCUCAUUGAACCCCGAAUUGCAGCUUUACUCUGUAAGGGUCUUGGAGGUUCCACUGAUGGAAUGGACCAGAAAGUAACAGGUAAACUUUCUUGAGGGCUCACCUAUACCAAGCAUGGUGCUAAGCACCAUCCCACUUGAUUCUUUCACCAUUUGGGGAAGAAUCUGCUAUUAUUAUUUAUUCCUGUUUUAUGUACAAGAGAGCUGUGGCACAGAGCAGCUAAGUACUUCUACCAUGAUGGCAAGGGUGGGGCGGACCCAGGAGGUGCACCCAGGUUUGUGGACUGGUAGAGCCCAUGUUCUUAACUCUGAGGCUGCAGAGAGAUUGGUUUGCAAAGGCUGCUUCUGUCCUUAGCUUGCCUCUGCCGCAGCCUCGCUGUGUAAGCACCCCUUAGACACACAGCUUCUUGCAGUUACUGCAGCCCAUCAGGCGGCUUCCUGCCUUCGAGUUUUUGUCCCUGCUUCCAAUACUCAUGUCAUCUCUGCAUAGCUUUCUGCUUCUCCUUAUUCAGAUCUCUGCUUAAAUAUCCAUUCCCUAUAGACCCUGCUCUGGUCAUCUGAUCUCAGAUCACCCUCAUUGCCUUCAUUCUUGAAUCUCUUAGUCUAUUUUGUUUUCAUAGCAGUUACCAUUAUCUGAAAUCAAGUUAUUUGUGUAUUUGUUCCCUUGUUUAUGGCCUGGUGAUCUUACCAGGUGGUAAGAUGAUAAGGAAUCUUGGCUCUUGCAGUUCUUGAAACACUUUCCUAUUGGGUUUUUUAACAAUUUGGUGGGAUAGGCAGUUUGGAUGCUCUUAUUUCCAAUUUUUGACAAGGAUGCUGGAUUGAUUUAUCCAAGGUUACACCUCAUCUAUGGCAGAAGUAGAAUUAUACUACAGAUGGCCUUCUGAUGAUUGGCUCAGGGCUCUUUUCCCUACACCAUGAAGGAUCCAUUUCAUGUGAAAACAGUACUGAUCUCAUAAUUUAGGGCCUGGAAAAUGUUAAGUCAUCUAAUUAACCAAUGACACCGUCUUAAAGGUUCUCAUGAAUUCUCUCCCCAACUCUCUUCUCUAACAUGUUAUGUCAAGUGGAAUAAAAUAUGGCAGCCCUAGUUGAUAAGAAAUUUGAUUUCUGGAGAUUGGAGACAGAGCAACUGAUGAAAAACAAAAGUAUAGACUAUUUUAUUAAUUAGUUUGUAUGCCUUGGUCCACAAAAUUUCAAUUUGACUGCAAAGAUACCUAAUAAUAAGAUACAUAAAUGAGAAAUUAGAGCAAAAGAAGAAAGCAAAAGUAGCUGGAAAUAUUAAAUGCUCCAGACAUGAGACCCACAAAUGCAAAGUUAAAAGACUUCACCAUGAACCAAACACUAUUUAAGUUCUUAGUUUUCUAGCAGGUAUGUCAAAAGGAAAAACUUGGUUGGUUACAUAAUUCAAAAUGUCUUUGCAUAAAAGGCCAAAAAAUUACUUAGGAGGGAAACUUUCUAAGCUGGAGGUUAAUUGCUCUUGAAAGAAAAACAUCUAGUAUAGUAUUUUUUUGACUUUUCCAAACUGAUGACUUUUUGAUAGUGAUAAAAACUUUAGCCUUCCAUUGAGAAUUACUGAUACACAGAAAACAAAUGCUAGGUUCUCCAUAGCCCCAUCAACUAGCACAGUUUUGUUGAUAUUUGCUUUCUAUAGAUUGAAGUAGAAAUAAGUACUGCUUUCUAUUCCAAAUCAAAAAUUAAGCCAUCUGAUCCCCAAAGAUCCUUCACCUCUUCCAGAGAGCAUGGCAUCCCUUCUCAUUUGGAAAUGUCGCAAUACUAAUUAAUUUAGGCAAGAGUCAUCAACAGAUACUGAAACUGUUGGGUGAAAAUUUGAUGAAGAAUAGGAUAUUUACUUAAUUGCAAAGUAUCUCCCUUGUGAAUUACAAAGGGAAGUAUAGUAAUUUUAUGACAGCCAUCACUUUAGCGAAGUGAUCAAACUUAUCACCAAUUACAGGACAAACGACCCUAUGCUUCCUGAUACCAGAGCCUGCGGAAGACACAUCACCUCUGUGGCAUUCCUGCUAAAAGUGCAUAAUCUGAAUGUAAUCACGAGGAAAUAUCAAACAUAAUCAAGUUGUACUAUAAUCUAA
rnacentral:lncRNA from 1 species